rnacentral:rRNA from 1 species
CAGCCGCCGCGGUAAUACGAGGGGGGCAAGCGUUGUUCGGAAUUAUUGGGCGUAAAGGGUGCGUAGGCGGUUUGACAAGUCUUGUGUGAAAUCUUCGGGCUCAACCCGAAGCCUGCACGAGAAACUGUUGAGCUUGAGUAUUGGAGAGGUGAGUGGAAUUUCCGGUGUAGCGGUGAAAUGCGUAGAUAUCGGAAGGAACACCUGUGGCGAAAGCGGCUCACUGGACAAUAACUGACGCUGAUGCACGAAAGCUAGGGGAGCAAACAGGAUUAGAUACCCCCGUAGUCCCUGUCUCUUAUAC